GUUGAUUGUAGGUAUCAUUUGAUACUUGUUGUGAUAGAUUUAUAGGGGAUGCUACAUAUUUCUUAGACUCAAUUCCAAAGGCUACUCGUGAUGAAGUUAAAAGUCUUGUAAACAUGGCCAUAAAGAUAUUUAGAUCAGAAGUGAAAUUGAAAGGAAGGAAAAGGAAUUAUUUGGAAUUCUUCUAUUAAAAAAGAAGACAUAUUUCCAAGAAGAGGUUGAUAAAGUUCGCAAUGAAUAGGGACAACAUCUACAACAAUAUAUAGUUGUACAAAAAUGAUGUCCAGUAAUUUUAAUUUGUG